AAAGGGAAAUCAUACUUGACCAACUUUAUAGCCUUCUACAAUGAGAUGGCUGCCUUAGUGGAUGAAGGGAGAGCAGCGGGUGCUGUAUAUCUCAACUUCAGUAAGUCUUUUGACACUGUCUCCCACACCGUGCCAUAGACAAACUGAUAAAAUAUGAACUAGAUAAAUGGACAGUAAGGUGGAUUGAAAAUGGAGCGGCACACUGUUCAUCUGGAGGCUACUCACUAGUGAAGCACUCUCAGGGUCAAUAGUGGGGCCAGCACUGCUUAACAUCUUCAUUAAUGAUCUGGACAAUGGGACAGAUUUUGCAGAAGGUACAAAACAGGGAGGAGGGGCUGAUGCACCAGCUGGUUGUCCUGACAUUUAGAGGGGCCUCAACAGGCUGGGGAAAUGCGCUGACAGGGAUUUCAUAAGGUUCAACAAAGGGACAAGCCAAGCAUUGCUCCUGGAUAGGAAUCAUCCCAUGCACCAGUACACACUAGGGACCCACCAGCUGGAGGGCAGCUCUGAAUGCAAGGCCUUGGGGGUCCUGGUGGAGAAUGAGCCAGCAAUGUGCCACUAUCGCAAAGACCAAAGCCUCCAGGGCUGCAUUAGGAAGAGUCUUUCCAGCAGGACAAGGGAUGUGAUCCUUCCUCUCUGCUCAGCCGUGGUGAGACACAUCUGGAGUGCUGGGUCUGCAUCUGAGGUCUCCAGCACAGGAAAGACUGAACUCUGUCCAAGGAAGAUGUCCAUGAAGAUGAUUCAGGGACUGGGGCACUUGACAUAAAAGGAGAGACUGAGAGAGCUGGAACUGUUCAGCCUGGAGAAGAGAAGGCUCAGGGAGGAUCUUACCAGAGUGUAACCCAUUUCUGGCCAAAAACUUAUCAAUGUACUUUCUUGGUAGACUGAUUCCUGGAAGGUGUGAGCACCAAGGAGCAGAACUCUGCAGCAUGGCCGGGGAUGGACAGAGAAGUGACACUUGGGCUCCUGGCCUGGAGAAAUGGAAGUCUCAUGUGAAGAGAGAAUUUCCAGCCAGAGCAUGUGGAAAGACACUUCCCAUGUCAAAGGCAGCUGGGCAACCGGGAAGUGUCCACUUACACCUUGGAUUGGUACAACUACUGAGAGCAUUUAUUGCACACAAUUACAGUAAAAUCUUUGGGCAACCGACAAGCCAAAUCUUGGUAUGAAUCUGCGAAGUCGGUAUCAGAUUUAUGGAUUUUGUUUUUGCUUUUUGUUUUUGUUUUUCAGCAAUGCAAUUACAUUUAUUGUCUUGCAAGUCACUCAUUUAGAAAGAUAUUCAAAGCAAGAGAAUAGUUUUUAUUUCCGCUAGUGGCGCACAUCACAAAUGACUGGUUUUCUGCAGAACUUUUGCAGGAAAUCUGCUCUAUUGUUUCAUUACAAGUAUGGAGCAUGUGUCUGCUCUUCCCCUUUCACAAAGUUUACAGGGGCUUUUAUGACAAAGAAAAACUAGUAAAAGAAUGCUAAAGCUGCAACAAAGCAAACCAAAGAAAGCAGGAAAGUUCUUUGUAUCCUACAGAACUGGUUCUGUUUUUACUGAUCAGCAAUGUCUUUGAAAAGUGAAAUUCAAAUUUGACAAAGCAAGUUUUAUUAUAAUCUUAAUUUAAAAGGUAGAAAUGUCUACGGACCCACCUUGCAAAGUCAGACAAGCUGACUGUAGACACAUGAGACUCCUAUGGGACUAUAUACAAGAUCAAAAUGAGAAAUACGGGAUAAAAUUAUAGGGAGAAUGACAGCAACAAAGUGAAGUAAUCCAAUUCCUAUGAGGCCAAUGGAUAAUUAGGGGCUAUAUAGUAUCAGCAAGAAUGGAAAGAGCAGAAAUUCAGCUAAACCGUAAUGUUUAAAAACGGAGUAUGUUUUACUCUUAUCUAACACUGUCCGUAUAAUACUGCUUUUGGUGUGAGGCAAAGAAUGGAGGUUGGGACAUGAUGCUAGGAGAUGAAAUACAUAGUUGAUUCCGAACUCAGGCUUGAGACCCAAAUGCAAUUAAUUUGGGAAAUCUCAUCAAGACACACCUUGCCUUUUGAGUGGGAUACCUCUAACACUCUCUUGUUGCAAAACUUAAGGUGGAUGAAGAGGUUUAGACUAGCCUUUCUGAAGGCUUCUGUUGGAAUCCACUGUGUGAAUAAAAAUAGGUAGUUUAGACUGCUUAAAUUAUAGAUCUUCCUGUAUCAGUAUUUUGAAUAAUGUUACAAUUAGACUCUGAUAGUUUGCUGUUUUCAUUAAAGUCCUUAUGGUGGUGCCUGUUAUUUUAGUUCUAACUCGUUUUUUCAUGUAUCUGAUAUUGCACAAAGUUCAGACUGAAAAAGUUUUCUUUCUGUAUUCAUUCAGGGCCAGAAAAAAGCAUUUUUUCAAAGUUCAUGCGUGCGUUCAGUAUGGCCUGACAGCCUUUUUUAAAGAGCUGAGUGUGUCCAUGACCUCUCAAGAGAAGCAAAGCUACUACAGAAUGCAUGUGCUGAAAAUGAAAAAUAGAGCUGAAAAUGAAUCCUGAGUCUCUCCUUGCUCAGUUAACUGCCCUUGCAGACAAGAAACCAGCUAUUAUCCAAACAGAAAGGGCUUGCUCUUUUAGUUUUCUCUUUGAGUCUCUUAAUUCACUUUCACUUGUCUUAAUUUGCUCUUCUAUCAAGCGUAGUGCAUUUACUGCUCUGAUGGCCGCAGUUGUUCCUGACACACUUUCCGGUACUGCUGACACACAAACAACCGAGUCAUCUGCUGGGUAUCCACAUCCAUUCUCAUCAACGUCUGCAGUGUUAUGUGGAGCACGUCCAUAAGACUCAUGAUUUACUACCCCAUGAACUGCCCUUCGGCUGAUGAAUAGAUACAGAUAAAAGUGGAAGCUUCUCUUUCAAAGCAAUAAUGCCAUAAAAGCAGUUCUUUAUUCACCAUGUGAUAAAAUUCAAUCUGAAAAUUUCUGCCUGUGAUGGAGUUGCUCCUAGUAUACUUAGUACUAAAUUUCCCCAAUUUCUCACCAUAAAUUUCUAAGUAGAAAAAAUUGAUCAGACCCUGUCACGCCUUACUGAGGAUCAGCUAGGUUCACACAACAUAUGCACAGUUCUCAAACAUGUCCCUGUUAUUCUAUGUGCUUUAAUGAAACAAGUCUAUAUAUUGAUUGCAAACUUGGUAGUGCAAGCAAGGAAUGUUACCUCUUUCAGUGACCACCAUUGUAAGAACAGUUUUGUUUAAAGCAGAAAAAAAUUAAACAUUCUCUGCAGAUGUCAAAGUUGUGCAAAAGCUCCUUUGCAAUAAGACAGAUAUAGAGAUUUCAGCACUGGUUGAAAUUUGUUUAGUAAAAUCCCCUUGUUGAAUCACUACUGCAUGGAGUUGUUGUAACAUGUAAUUAAGGCACAUUUCAGAUGAUAACACAAUACAUUUUAUCGAUCCUAUUAUUACUGCUCCCAGGUCACGGUGAGAGCAGACAGGUCAGUUUGCUUUAUUUAGCUUCAAAAUCACUUAAACAGUAUUGACUGAGAGCUUGGUGGCAGCACAGCUGUUGUUAAGUUCACAUGUUGCUUAAGAAGGAAGAGAUGAAAAGAACACAACCAGGUAAGCCAAAUGAAUCAUAAGCACUCAGGAAAAAUUUUUGGAAAAUGGAAAGAGAAAUAAUUGCAUUUCUAGAUCCUGUUUCGGUGAAGACACACACUAAAACAGGUACAAAAUUAUUUACUUGUGCACAGAUCUAAGUUUUUAUAAUUGUUGUUUUCCACCAAUAUGUUUUUUUCAAGCUGGGAAAAGAAAGACUUGGUUUUAUAUAAAAUUUUUCCUGGAAACAAAAACAGCACGAUAGAUUCAAGCUACAAGAUGAAAUGUUUGAGGAACUGCAAGAACUGUUUCAUAAAAUGUUGAAAAUUCUGUGGAUUGUCCACAUGAAACAUCCAUAUAAUGGCCUGAACAGUAAGCAGGAACAAAGCAACAAUGCAAAUUAGAGACUGUUCGUGGAAUUUAUAAAAUCUACAAAAAAUGGCACUACUCGUCAGGUUUUCACAUUAAUCUAAAAUGUACUUACUUUAGGGUUUCUGCAUUUGCUACAGUGACGGACUCAUCAUCCAUGGUGUUCCAGGGAAAACAACAUCCCUCAGCCCUUUUUAAAAUGAACAGAUCCUUUACCAGGUUUUUCUUUUCCCUGAUUGAAAAGUCAGUCAUGCUAUAAAUUACACUCAGUAGCUGUAUGACACUUAAAUAUAAUUGAUUGUCACAUUUAUAAUAGCUGGGGGGUUUUAUUGUCAGAACUGAACAACUGAAGUGAUCAGUAGCCUGCACUGGCACUAUUAUUAAAGUCUGGAAUGUAAAUCCCUUCCUGACACUGAGAAGCAGUUACUCACUGAAGAGGUCCUAUAGCUGCCGUGAACAGCGGUUCAUCAUAAAAAGAAAAGGCUUAGAAGUCUGGAUUUAAAUACUUUAUCCUUAAAUUUGCACACACAGAAUCUCUAGGCAGUGAUACAAAAAGUCUGAAACCACUUUAAAGAUACCCAUUCUCUCAGCUACAGCAAAAGAUCUUCCUCGGCUUAUCAAUUCGAACUGAUAAAUAAUAGUUACUCAAGUGCUGAAAUUUCAGUCACUGAUGUUAGACAGUCUGGCUAAUUAACGUCAAUUACAAAUUUAUGGCUCUGAUUUGAAUAACCUUCUCUCCACGCACUAACAGGCCAGUUUUGUUUCUCCAACAUGCCCAGGAUGCUCUUAAUUAACUUCCACAGAUCUUGGCAUUUGAGGAUAAUUGUGUGAGGUUUCCUCCUGGCCAGAAGACUGGGUGUCACAGUGCUCCGUUGGAGGGAGCUUUUUGGGGAACAACAACCAAAGCAGGCGCUGUGUGUCGCCGGUCGUUAGAGGGCAGUAAACCACCAUGUUUUGGUACAGCGUCAGCUGAAUUACCGAAAAUACUAAGGGUGCUUUUUGCAGGUUACCCAGCCAUUCAGGUAUCUCCAGUAUUUAUAAUCCAGUGAUGUUUUUCACUCUUUCGGACUAAUUUAUCUGUUCUAGGAAUUGUGGAGCACGUAGUGAAGCCUAAACCACCUAUAAUCAAUACCCAUUUUCCAUUACAGAUGUUUUCCCUGGAAACAUGCUGCAGAUGUGAGUUUCCCAGCUGUAACUGUGUCCUGUGACAUUCCCGAAGCUGCUAUCCUGAACGUGUACAUGUGCAGACACAUUUAAGAGGAGAGGGCAAGAUGGGAGCUGAUCAGUUGUUCUCUUCAGAUUUCUGUACCUCUUGGAACGCGGUUAUGUGAGGGCUGCCAGGACUUGUCCACAACAGAAAAACAUCUCUUCCUUGCACCUGUGGUUAUCCAAGGUUUUUGAGCUGGAACCUGUGUGGGAUGGAAGCUGCCAGGCCUUGGAGUGCCCAGUCAUCCUGGGUUCAGUCUCUUCCUGGAGCAGCCUGAACUAGGGCUGGUUUGGCUGAAGGGAACAAACCAGCUGUUACUGUUAAACCAAGGCACUUGAAGAGGUCCUAGACCAAGAGGAGUGAUGGAUGGCACUUGGAUUCAGUGCAUGCAAAUGAAAAGUACAACUAAGAAGAGCAGUCAUGCAAGAUUAUGCAGGGAUCUCAUGAAUAAGUGAAACAACAUUGGUAAAUGUCCUUGUUGUUUCUUGGCAUCACAUUCCUAGCAUGUGCUCAGCAAAUUGUCUGCUCUGAGGACUGAGAUGCAGUCCACUGCAGGUCACCAGCCACAAAGGACCAGAGACACCAUGCUUUGUUUUGGGACCGUGCUACAGAUAAUACAUGGGGAUAUUCCUGAGGUCUUCACAGCAAUAAGAGAAAAAAUAUCUUGCCCAGGUACAGGUGGGACUGAUGAAAUAACUAGGAGAUUUUUAUGCCUCUGCUUACCUGUCAUCACAUCAGCAAUGAAAAUGGCAGCUAUCUAUUACCAGAAAGUCCUGGCUGAUUUUGCUGUCCGGACAUAGAAGUCUGGCUUGCACCUCAGAGUAGAAGAUACUGAGUGUAAUUGAUCUGAGCCAUGUACUUAAUUGAAUUUUUAAGCACUGGGUAGUACCAGGUUGAUAAUAUAUUUGGGCUAAAUGCUGGUCUCUGCACAGGUGAAAUAAGAAGUCUGUGUACAGUGGUUUUCUGCAGAGACCUGAGACCUUUUAGGAGACCUUUUUGUGUGUGGUCAGAUCCUUGUGACUACAAACAUUUCUCUCAAUUCUAUGUGUCCUCCCUUUUGCCUUUGCAAAGCCACAUGUAGGCAGAGAACAAGGGAAAAAAAGCCACCAAGGACUGGAGAGACCUCUGCCUUUUCAUCCUAAGAUCUGGUGUUAGAGGGGGAUGCAAAACAACAACAUAAGACUGUGUCCAGGAACACAGAGACAUGACUUUUGAGGUCAUUAGUUCUUAACUAACUUCUGUAUACGAGGGAAAUGUGUCGACUGAAGUCAUCUCACAGAGGACAUGCAGAGGAAGUCUUUCCCCACUUGAUGGGCCAUCCAGAUUGCAGGGACUGCUGCUGGGAGGCUCAGCAGCUAGGACCUCAGUGCUGUCUACUGCUGGCACAGAGGAGAGAGUAAGAUGGUUGAAGUGAUACGAUGCCCUGAACUGGAGAAGGCAGAUGUAAAAAAUGAGCCAAUUGGAGGUGAAGAAUGGGAAUCUCGGAAAAAAGAGCAUCCAUCACUUAAAGUGUCAAUAAAGACAGUGGUUUUGCCAGUGUUCCCAGCCAUGGAUAGAAUGUGGCAGAACUGACCUCAUCAGCAAGAGAGGAUGAGCAAAAGCGAGGUCCAGGGAGCAGACUGGUGUAAAGGCAGUGUGUUGCUCAGGCAGCAGUUGGUUGAUGAGCACCAGGUAACAAGCUGCUCGCAGGCAAUGAACUGUGAUGUGGCCCUCAAGGUAAAAGUGUAAGAGUGCUCUCAGGAGGAUAAGAAGAGAUGUUGAAGAAGGUCCUUGGGAAAAUGCAAGGCAGGAUGUCUGCUGUGAAUUUUAGUUGUUUCAUAUUGAAUCUCUGAAGCAAACACGAACUCCAAGAUGAGAUUUAAAACAACCAACCACCCAACAACAACAAACAACAUAAAAAAAAAACCCAAACAAACAACAAAAAUAUAAACUUAUGACUUCAAGCUAGUCCCCCAACAUUUUAGCAUCAAUCUAGUGAUGUUUGAAUGUUGCUGGACUGGAACCACUGCUGCUCCUCAUCAGGCUGUGAGAAAUAGCUAUAGGUUUCAAAUGAUAUGCUGUUUGUUCGCUAAUUAAAACUGGUGUCAGCAAAGUGGCUGAACUGUCACAGGGAGCCCCAAACAAGAAAAGCAUCAUGUUGCAGGCAGCACUGUACAGUCUAUCACCUGUGGACAGGACAUUGUCUUGUGCAGGGUCCCUGGGUUACCUGAGCCAAUUGAUUUUGGUCUCUUUAUUUUUUUUAAUUUUCUCAUUUAACUUUGUUUUCUCAGUGUGUUUUGUCACAUAAAUUGUCAUGUUCUUGUGAUGUGACUAGAACUGGUUAGAAGUUUUGAAGAGAAAGCAUCAAGAAUGUUUGGUUGCCACUGGUGACUUUUUUCUCAAAUUUCUAUCAGCUACACAUUGAUUCAACUCAACUCCCUCCAACACUUUUAGUAAGCUAGCAGACUUGCAGGCAAUGCCUUAUGAUUAUUUCUGCAGAGAUCUGUAACCUUUCAGAACAAAACAUGUUUUACCUGUAGUUAAAAUCCUACCUGUGAACAUUCACACUAUGAGUGCACUAUCAGGUCAGCACUCCUUACAAGAGACACAUUCCAGAGUGCUUCAUCAGGAUUUUUCUUGCUCAGAUGGUACAAGUCUGGCCUAAGACAUGCUCCAACAUUGUGUUAUCUGCAGUGUCAUGGUUUACUAUUUUAGUAACACCUGCCAUGUGCAGGGAGGUUGAUGCUUAUGUUUUCAUGCUUUACUAUAGCCUGAGCAAUGUCCCUUUAAAAAUAUGUUUGUUUGCUCCAUUCAGCUGUAGUUGUAUUCAUCUAGUACCAGUUGUCUGAAACCCAAAAUAUAGCACUGCUUUAGGUAAAUGGGAGAGUAGAAUAAAGCAGUGAUUUCCGAGAAGGAAAAAUUUAGUUCUCAUUCAUUGUUUUCAGGAGUUUCAUGUGGGCAACACUUUUUUCCUGAGAUGUCAAGAAUAUGCUAAAAUAACUGCUCAUCAGCCACAGCAGCCCAGAUUACCAAGUCACUGUUUCCAUGAAAUCCAAUAUAAAGUUCUGUAUAAAAACUUUCUAAUAGGGGAAAAGGGAUCAUGUGAACCCCUGACUCCCCUGAAUGCUGAAGUGGCUAAGUUCAUUGAUUGUUCUGUCAAAGGAUUUUGAAACCUUAAUUCAUGAAAACAGGAAAAAAACAACAACUGGUUUUGCCUUCAGUUAAAAAUGAAAGUGAUAGGAUAUAAAAGUGAGUUUGCUGCAUGUUCGAGAUGCAUAUUAAUUUUUGGUAUAUCCAAGAAUAGAAUCAUAGAAUAAUUUCAGUUGGAAGAGACCCUUAACAUCAUCGAGUCCAAACAUAAUCUAACUCUAGCACUAAACAAGGUCCCUGAGAACCUCGUCUAUGUGUCUUUUAAACACCUCCAGGGAUGGUGACUCCACCACUUCCUGGGCAGCCUGUUCCAAUGCCUGACAACCUUCUCAAGGAAGAAUUUUUUCCUGAUAUCCGAUCUAAACCUCCCAUGUCACAAAGAAAACAGUAAGAGACAAAAUGCCAUUGGUACUUGUAUGAUGCAGUCCUUUGUAAGUGAAAACAGGUGUUGUCAGAGAAAACUGAAGUCUCUGUUGAAACUGCUGCUGUUUUAUGUGCUGCAUUUUAUCUUAAUACAAAUAUGCCAUUGCUUCACAGCCUGAGUUAUUUCAGUACUGUGUGCAGUUCUGGGUGCCACACUAUAAAAAGGAUAUAAAGCUACUAGAGAGUGUCCAGGAGAGGGCUACAAAGUUGGUGAAGGGUUUGAAGAGGAAGCCGUAUGAGGAGCGGUUAAAGUCACUUGGUUUGUUCAGCCUGGAGAAGAGGAGACUGAGGGGAAACCUCAUGGCAGCUACAGCUUCCUCACAGGGGAGGAGGAGGGGCAGGCACUGAACUCUUCCCUCUGGUGACCAAUGACAGAGCCUGAGGGAAUGGCAGGAAGAUGUGCCAGGGGAGGUUGAGGUUGGACAUUAGGAAAAGGUUCUUCACCCAGAGGGUGGUGGAGCACUGGAACAGGCUCCCCAGGGAGGUGUCACGGCCCCAAGCCUGACAGUGUUCAAGAAGAGACUGGACAAUGCCCUCAGACACGUGGUGUGAACUGUGGGGUUGUUGUGCAGGGACAGGAGCUGGACUUGAUCCUUGUGGGUCCCUUCCAACUCAGGACAUUCUGUGAUUCUGUGAAAAGACCACCGUUUAAAACCAACAUUUCACACAAAGGAAACAUUCUGUCUUCCAUCUCCCCCACCAAUCUCCUUUCAGAAGGACAGGCUUUCUGCUAGGCUCCCCCAAAUGGUGCCUCACAGCUGCCAAGAGUUCCCUGUCUGGGAUGAGGCUUUUGGCCCUGCCAGAGACGCAAGACAGGGACAGGCAGAGCCAUGUGGCUGCUACCAGGUGCCUGAGCUUUCCCUGCACUUCCCUCAAAGCACGGCAUCUUCUCAGGAUGGGCUCCCAAUAUCAAGCAGGAGGUCUGGCAGCAGCCUCCUCGGUGGGUCCCAGGUCACUCAGCUGGAGACGACAGCUUGUCGCUGUCAGUGAAACACAAAUUCAAGGCAAACUCCUUUCAAACUCCUGGCUAAUUAAUCUAAUAAUCUAAAUUUGAGCACUGGCUUGUUAAAAAGAUGAAUUAUCUGGUGUUAAUGCACCUGUAUGCCCAAAAAAGCACAAAAUUCCAUCUCUGUCAAGAACAAGAGACAGGCCCACAGUCUUUGUGAUACUCCUGACCUGGAUUUUCAAUAUAAAAAAUAGAUUCUUUGCAGUAAUGUUUGUGACAGUCAUACGCAUAAAAAUGCACCAAAAUUGUGGAAAAGUAGAGCUGAGGAAUUAGAGCUGUCACCUAGCCUGAAAGGAGGAAUAAAAGCAUCUCACAUGCUUUUUGUGAUGAAUGACUCACACGGCUGUUGUCAGCCCUUUCCUCGCCCCCACCAGUCAACAUUUCAGAGCUGCUGCCCAGAAGUGCAGCUGGCUACAGACGCUGCCCGUGAAGGCAGUGGAAAUGGAAGUGGUUUCAUGUGUGAGGGGCUGAAGGCUCUUUCUACUGACUGUGAGGUAUGCCUGCCCAGCAUGGUCUGGGCUGGCAACACUGCCUGUUCCAGCUAACCAGGGUCAGCUUACUCGAUGGCUGCAAUGGCAAGUGAGAGUGGUGUCCAUGGACAGAGAUCACAGCCAGGAGUGGGGACAACUGGGCAUGGGGACCUCCUCUGGGGAAGAGAUGCAUGGGCAAACCCACAGACCUUUUCAGUGCAGCGGAUACAUGGAGGAGUUGGUCAAUACUGAUAAGUGUUGCUACGUCUUGCUGAAAGAAGGCAUUUGUCGUGUUGAUUUUUAGUGUGAUAGAGCACCCAAUGGGUGCAGGGCAACAUCUUGCUGUGAAAGGCAACUGCAUGGAGAUGGCAUCUUUGUAAUGCUCCUGGUACACAGAGAGGGUCAUAAUUUCCUUUUUUUGCCAUUCUGGUGCUUUCAUAAUUCUGUAGGUGUGUGUCAGCUAGUUUAUAAAUGCUACUUUUGCUCUGCUGCUUUAUUUAUGAGUAUUGUCUGCACAUCUUAUUGCUUUGAACCAUCCCUGAGGUGCUUCUUAGGGAUAAUCAACUAUCCAUCCAUUUACUUAUCCAUUGAAAUUACCAGUGAUUCACCUCUGUCUUAGGCUGUGUUAGAAAUUAAAGAUUCUCAUAAUCUUUAAUGCAACUUGCUAAUCCAAGCAGCAUUGCAAGCUCCCUGUUCUUCUUUAUGGCUUUUCAGGAGAUGACAGUGUGUCUCCAAUGUCCCUCUGCCUCACUGCGAUGGGCUAGACCAGGAGAGCAGCCGGGUCCCGGGAUGACGUUGCCUUCAAAGCUCCUGCUGACUUGCUUUACCCCACACUCAGCCAGGACAGAGGUUGUAGCACCUGCCCUGCCUGGAAGCUCAAUAGCUUUAGGGUGGUAACUCCCAAUUCAGGCUGCAAGGACAAGGAUGUCUGCGAAGCACCAUGUUGUGGGAGAAAGUCCAGGAAACAGUCCUGAAAGAUUAGUAAAAUGUGUCUUUAAAAUAGAUUCAUGAAUGUGCUAUCAUUUCAGUGCCAAUUUUCACUGAAAUUUUUACAAUUUAUUUCACAGUCCAGAUUUUUGUCAUCGUGCUUUCCGGCAAUUUCUUCAUAUCUGUAGCUCCAAAAGGGCCUGUAUAUUCCUUAGUAAAAAGCCAAGCCAAACCCAACUAGUCUGUAACUGUCUUUAAACUCCUUUCUACAUAUUUUCUUACUCUGGUAGCCUAGGGAACUCACUGACUCACCUUUUAGGUUAUCAAUUUUCAUGCCAUCAGCUAUUAGCUCAUCAUACAUCUACUGGACCAACCUAGCUUACUCAUCUUAACACACAUAUUUUAUCUCCAUGAAAGUUCAUUUUACCUAGAUCUUUAUAUAGUUGUGGGUUUGUUUUUUUUUUGCUUGUUUGUUUUUUUUUUUUUUAUUUUUUAAGUUGACACAAAUUAAUUUGGAUAUUGUUCUCGACUUGAUUUCUGUAGAGUGUAUCCAGGAACUCCAUGGUGAACAGGGAUCUCAGGGAAACAGUUUCAUUUGCAUAAAGACAGGGCACCAUUAAAGAGUGACAUCUGAACUGGUUUUCUGUUGGUUAUUUUCAAGGAAAAAGGAUUCUACGAUGGGUAGUCUGGGAGUUAGAUGGAUUUUUUCUCCUAUUUGUUUCAUAUUUUUAUUUUAAAGUUUUCUGUGGAUAAAUAAUAUAUAGUUUGUAAGAGGUACAAAAUUUGCUUACAUAUAGCAUUGUAUGCUGUAAAAUUGUUGUCUUGGACAUGGCACAUCCACCAAACUGGUGUAAUGCUGUGUAUUCCUUUAGGAGAUUUUUUCCAAGUAGUGAUUCUGGGAUGUUGGGGAAUAGAAAUGGAGGUCUGUUAAUGUUUCCCUCAUCUUUCUCAUGGCAUUAUAUGCUGCCUGUUCUUUCACAGGCUCUAGUAUGCACAUUGUUCAAAUUCAGAAUUACUGAGGUAAGAUGCCAGUUUCAUUACACUUCAGCCAAAAGCUGAAUUCUGAUAAAAGGCCCUGGUGUAGACCAUCCACUUGGUUGUUUCCAGAAUGAUCACACAUCAAAGCUCAAAGAGAAAUUGUUACUGGCCAGGAACACCCAAUAUGUUUAUUGCAAAAGCAUCACAGGUGAAAUACUGCUGCAUCAGCACCUUCACACAAUGUGCUGUCAGAAAAACACACACUGUACCCUCAGUUUUUAUUUAUACGUGCUUCUCUUGUGUUCUUGGUGUUGGGGGAGAAUUUUGUGCUUCACACUAAUGCUCGCAGGUCCUGGAGCCCUUGGUCAGAUCAGAAUAUGGUCAGAUUUAGGGCUGGGGCAGCCAGAGAGCCCCCCUCCCUGUGCCUUGCUUUUUCCUGCCCCCCAGCUUCCUCUGCUGUUGCACCCACAUCAGUGUUCACAGCGAACCAAGCUGAGCCACGGCUCCAGCUGAAAAAUAACCUGGCAAAAAGGGAGCAGGCAAGUUCCCUAUUGCAAAUGUUCAUACAACCCACAGACUGCUCUUUUGGUGUGAGGGGAGGCCAUCGUAAGGGUGAACUGGCCCUCACCAGCUGCCCCUGACAGCAAGGAGCAGCAGCUGCCUGGCCCACUUGUAACAAAAAAAUGGUUCCCAGCAGGGUAAGCCUGUGCUGAACCAGUCAAGGUACUUUGCCAUGUCUGGCCAUGCACUACAUGAAAGACCUGGGCUGAGGCUGCAGGGUGUAGAAGCUUUUGUGUUAAAUGUUACGUUGUAAGCUUGGUUUGUAAAGAGACUUCAAGACAGGAAGCGAAACUGUUAAUUAAUUAAGAAUAUUCACAGGCCCCCAGCAGAUGUUUUAUUUUUUAAUUAAUUGCUGUGCUACCAGAUUGCUCAGUGAAGGUGAGGUUCCUUCUUAAGGUCAGGUUGACCUGAUGGUAAACAGGCACCAGAUAAACUGCUCUGGCACCUAUUCUCCAACUCCACAGUCUCAUCCUCUUUGUUGUGCCAGCUCUGGCACAGGAUAGUGACUUUCUGCAAGAGGAGUUUUCUGCUGGUUUAGUUUCCUUCAUGAGCUCAGUGCUGGUCUGCCCAGCACCGGGGAAGUGAGGGCACUGGUUGGAACACACAACCAGAAGCAGGUAUGCAUAGACAGGAAAGGCUGUACCCUCCGUAAGUCACCAUAAGAUCUUCCUCUGGUCCAGAGAUCAAGGAUUAUCAAAUAAGAAGGGGAACAAGAGCCCUAGCAGACUUCUCUAGCCAAUCUUUGUUGGUGAUAAGUAACAAAAACAAAAAAAAUUCUGUAUAGUGGGAGACAGAACGUGACAACCUGCAAAGCAGCAGAGGAAUGCAAAGUUGUGGAUGGCCCAUUUUCUGAGUAAAAUUUGGGCUUGCCCAGGUGUUGCAGGUUCGAUGAGGACUGUCCUCAUUCAUGCCACUGGCUUUAUUGUAGAAAUUACAAGUGUGGAAGAGGGAUGGCUUUUAUAGAUAGCUGGCUGGUCAGCAGAGGGGAGAAGAAAACAGGUGGGGUGGCACUGGCACAUCCAGAGGCCUCUCUUGUACUUCCAGAGGUGCAGGUAGUAAGCUCCCUCUCACUCCUCCAGGAAAGGGUCAGCUGGAAGGAGGAACUAAUAUCAGAGCUAUCCUGUUGUUGGUAUUUUCACAAUGCAAGAAAAGCAGAAAUAGUUUAGGCCCACAAUAUUUUUUUCUUUCGUAGCAUUAUUGAUAGUGUCUAGCUUAUAUGUUGGUCUUCAGUUUGCCACACCAAAGCUUGAUGCCCAGCCAGAGAGGCAAUGUGCUGGUAGGAAGCCAAAGCCCAGCCCACAGUAGGAAGGGUGAGCAGGUUGUGGGAUGUGAGCUGAAAUAGUUUUCAAAAUAAUGAGGGGAUCCAGAGCCUUGAAAAGUCAGUGGGGGUGUACAGAUUCUAGUGACCCCUACUUGGGAGUUCCUAACUAGACGUUGAUGCCUAAUAUCAAAGCCUGUUUGUUUUGUUUUGUUUUUUAAAUAUAUGUAUUACAUAUAAUAUUAUAUAAGCAAGGAAAGCUGCAGUCUCUUCUAUCAAUUCCGUGGUGACUGUCACAUUAUCCAUCACUUGUAGUCGGAGCUGAUUAGGCAGAGUCUUGUAAAAGUAUUUUUGCAAAAAUCACUGGAAAUACCUUCUUUGCUCACUUAAGGAUGCGGUGGCUGGACACCGGCCAGGCUCGCAGUGUCUCUGCAUUACACAGCACCCACAUCUCACUCCGCUCUGCUGAGCCAGAAGGACCAUGAGCAGCUCUUGGGCUCUGCCGUGGAUGGUGCUGCAGCUCCAGUUUGCUUGUGGACCUGCUCUGCCUGGCAGAACCUGCAAAGUAUAAUAGUACCCAGUGAAGGCUUCCAUAUACACAAGCAUAGAUUUACUGACAACCAGAGAGCUAGCAGGCCAGAAGAACAUUUACUUGCUGGAUAAUAAAAAAAAAAAAGGAGGGCUACUAGAUGGUUUAGAAAUAUUCAGGACACUCUGGUGCUGUGAUAAGUUUGUCUGAAAAACUGUCCGUGGCUGUUAAGGGAGAAAAAUACUCUCCCUAGUACCUGCUGCUGAGCAGAAAGGUUUAUGCCAUACUCAGUGCAUUAUACUGUGCAAAUGGCAUGCAAGAAUCCAGGCGAAAACCACAGAGUCAGAGAAUACGGUGAACCCAGUGCUACAGUACUUGCAGCAAAUUAAAAGAGAUUUUAAACUACUAGGCACAGGCUACAUGCAGUGAAUUAAAACUGAAAUGUAAGGAUAAUGGCGUUCACUACACAAGGGAAAACGAACUUUUAUCCUCUGACUGAAUUGCUUUAACGAAAGUUGUCUUUUUUUUAAUAAUUGCUGUGUUCAGGUUAAAAACAUAUGAUAUGAAUUACAGUAAUGCUUCUCCAAAUAUUGUAUAAGCUAUUUGGUUUACUGCCAAGAAGUCAUGCAAUGAAAAUUAAAAAUAGAGAUAGUAAUCUUUUUUUUGUUUUUUAAAAAAAAGAAGUCUACAUGCAUUACUGCUGACAUUUCUUUAAAUAAGAAGGGACAUGAAAAAUUAUAUGCAGAUUUUGUGAGUUAGAGCAGGAUGUGAAAUACAAUCAAAAUGACACUUAGGAGAAUGUUUUUAUGGAAUAUGAUAAGAAGUGAAAACAUUUGUGACAUUAACUCAAAGAUAAGAAAUACUCAAAGAAUUAUGGAAGGAUUUAACACAAUAGAACCAUACGCUUAGAUUUAAAAUGUAAUCGUCUACAAAUGUAACGCAUUUACAUGUUUUAAAAAUAUACCCAUCUGAAAAGAGCCGAAGUUGCUGGGAAACUGUGCAUAACUCACAAAGCCCCCAGGCACUACAAAGUAGAAAUAAAAUAUUAACAAACGUAUUUUAAACUGUCUCUAUGGUAAUAAGAAUAGCUAAUUUUAGCAAGUACAAAGAAACUCUAAGGAACACACAUUUAGUUUGGAAACAGAACCUAGUGGGCAGGACUUCUUUAUCAGAGGUUACCUGUGUCUUUAGAGUUUAUGAUCCGUGUUCCGACAUAACUAAAGCAGCGUAAGCUGGGUUGACUUAGGUUUUUCCUGCAUUUUAGUACAAUAAAAAAGAGUAAGAAAACUAAUAGACUCUUGAGGUCAAAUUAAAGACAUAACACUGCAAGGAUCAAAUUGAUUUUACAAUUAAAAUUUAAUUGUAGACAAAAUUGAUUACCAAAUUGACAGAACAGAUAAUCAACACAAACUUUUAAAUUUGCUCUAGAGAACCGUAUUAUUUUGCUUUAAGAUUUCAACUUCUUCCACCCACAUACCUACUUAGAACUCUAACUGAUAUAUUACAUUUAUGUACCUAAUGAAGGGUGUUGGUAUGUGUUUGGUACACGAACUUUACAGAAUCUAAUUAUCAGUACUGGUUUUAGGCAUUUGUCAAGGAUUUUCUGGUUUGUUUUAAGGAAGCACAGAUUUAUGGGGGCCUUAAAUGACAAUGCUUUAGCAUUUAGGGCCAGAAAUUAUGUAGUAUGGCACUUAACAUGUAAGUUCUUUCCUUCCAGAGUACAAUACAGACACCUAUAAUUAAUGCUUUAUAUGAGUUUUAUGGAAAUUAAGACUCUCUCAGAUGACAAUUUCCAGCUCCUAAUACAUUUGGCUCACUAAUCCAAACUUAAAGCCAAUGUGACUAGCACACAGUUUCCAAAAAGUUAUGCAAAGAACAGAAGACUUCAAGCCCUGGGCCUUCUAGUGUGCAAGUACUUUAUUUCGGAUGCAUUGCAGAAUCUCCAUUUGUCAAGCUUCUGAUACCCUGCGGAGAGAAACUUGUAAACCAUGCUGCACUAAACUGCACAAGCCUUUCCUUUUCAAAACCCAAGAAGAGGAGCAGUGACAUUGUUUUAUGUGAUGGCCAGUUGGUUAUGUGAGAAGAAGGCCCUAAUCUGCUGCUUGACUUGCAGAGAUUGACACCUAUUGCUCUCGCAAGCAUGUCGAAUCACAAGGCUAUUGGUCUUAGUAGGACAGGUGGAAAGUGGUUUCCAGCCAUGUCUUUACUAGCAAAUUAAACAGCCCAGAGCCGUGUUCUAGAACACCAAGACCAAGUAAUGCAGAAUGGCCCACAUCUAUGCUAAGAAAACCUUAUUCAGUAAACCCAGUUUUAACAGGGUGAUGGUGUCCAAGCUCUGUGCCUGAAACAGUUCCUGGACUGUUAGGUACUUGAAUAAAUCAGCUGUGUCUGAGAAUCAGGAGACUCCUAGCUAGCACAGGUCAAAAUUGUGCCUGUAAGGGUACAGACCAUUGCAUUCUGUCAUAGUCUUUUAAUUUAUUUUACAAAGGGUAACCGCCAUAUCUGCCAGAAAGCUUUGCUUCUCUGCAUGGAGAAAUUAAAAGUCUACUUGUAGAGAGGUAACAGGGGCAUGUAUCUAACACUUGGGGCCAUCAGUGAUGCUGUCAUCCUUGUUCUCACAGAACUUUAUGCUACAAGAGGAAUUGAAUAAAGUAUAUAAACAGCCCUGGGAGAAAAAAAAAGGUUUCUUUGCUAUGAAAUGAGCACUCAAAUCAACUGUACUUCAAAGAAUCAUGUUCCUUCUACCAAAAAAACUAGCAAAACCUUCACCACUCUAACCCAAAUGGAGAAUGCUCCACUCAGCAAAGUCUACUCCUCAAGCAUUAAGAUGAGAAAGAAGAUUCAAGAGGAUUCAAGUGAAGUCCUUGCAGGGGAAGAAUGAGGUGAAUGCAUGAGAUACAGAAGUGGACUGGGAGGUGAGAAGAUAUAUACUGCAUAUGCAGGGUUGGCAAUCACUUACUGGAUAUAUUCAUUGCACACUACAUUCUUAUAAUAUUAUUUUUUGUUUUAGUUUCCAUUUCCUCACUAGCAACUUACUCAUAAUGAAUGUAAAGAAUAGUUAUCUGUUCUGACAUUAGGUAACUUGAGACUGUGUGUCUGGCUUGAAAACAGAUAAAUUCACAUCUUUGGAGGGCCUCAGAGUCAAGUCUGUCAAGGUGGGCAGUUAUCCGGAAUAUCCCAUGUAGGGUCUUUCGUCUGACUUUUAGAAACACAGCUAAUAAAAUUCAACCCCCUGCCCCUUAUAUGUCAAUUGUCUUCUUGUCCUUCUGUUCAUUUUUCCUUUACAGUAUACAAAAUUAGUCCAGAAGGUGAUUUGUAGCUGUUCUGUUUUGAUAGAAACAAGAUGUGAAUGUUCCAGCAAAAAGGUUAUCGGUAGAGAUUUGUUCAGGCAAUUUGCAGGAAAAGCUGAGGCAAUACCCUGGCUCCCAGCAAGUCUUUGGCUGUUUUCAAAGUUGUUGUUCUAUUUGCACCUCAGAAAGGCAGUAAUUAAAAAUCUCUGUAUCUAAAAUCCUCUACUUUCCUCCCAGGAAAACACUUCUGCUCUUCCUAACUACACAUGACUUUGACAAAUAUUUACACAGCAAACAAAUCAUUAAACAUGUUUUUUCUUGUAUUAAUGUAAUAAUAAAACUAGAGUUAAUGACAUCUAAAAGUUGUGUUAAAAAUCCAUGUGUCAAUGUUUGUGUUUUCCUCUCACUUCCUUUAGGAGAAUAUUCUAUUUGCCACAGUAAAUGGCCAAUAUGUAGGGGCAGUUGUAUGAUUUUUCUAACAAAAAUUCUAACAGGCACUGAAAUUUCUUUGAAUGUGUUAGUUUGCCAGCCUACAUUUUCUUUGUCUUUCAUGUAUGCUCAUGUAAAACAAAUAUGGCACUGCCUGCUUUCAUUAAAAUCUUGAAAGUUUCAUGAUCCCUUUCUCCUCCAUUCUGAACUAGUUUAGUAGUUUGAUUAACUAUGAAAUUCUGGUGGCACUUUGGAGUGCUGUCCUAGUUGACUUGAG